UUUUAUAAUCUCUGCUCAAAAACCCUCAUCCCAAACACUAUGAUCCUCUACAAUUUUGAAGAACACGAAUCUAGGGCUUCAAUCUUCUUUCAACCAAUUUGAACUCAAUUCUAAGCCGUUUGAGGUAUAUCUUGAGUCAAUUCCACUUCAUUUUUUAUGCUCUACAAAAGCCUUUUAUUAAUUCCUGUUAAUAGAAUGCAAUUGUAGUUCGUUUAAAUUUUCAUGAGUUCUAGGGUUCAUAAGCAUUUGGGGAUUUCUAUAUUUUACAAAACUGAAUCAAUUGAUUUGUUCUAUAGUGUUUCCAGACAUACGUUAAGAUGAAAUUUCAGUAGUAUUCAUAUUAAUCAUGAUUACUUACUUUUAUAGAAAUUAUACUUGUCAUAAUCUAGUAUAUAUGCUUAUAUUUUGCGUACCAUGCUACAAAUACUUGAUAAAAAUGCUAGAUUAGUAGAACUAUUGAAUUUUCAUAAUAUUAAUUAGAAUUUUUAUAUGAUUUUUACUAAUUUAAUUUUAGCUCAUCAUGUUAAUUUAUAUUUCAUGCAAAAUAUAUAAUUUGUUCGAAAUCUAUAUCAUAAUAAUCCAGAAAUUUUGCCUUUAACUACAGACCUUUUGGACACGAUGUUUUGAUCAUAAGUUUAGUCAAAUUGGUUUUUGUACUAUAAACAGAUUGGCUAAAAUGGUUAAAUUAGACAUAAGUAUAUUUUUGGUUAAAUUGGACUAUAAGUAUACAAUUAUGUUUUGCAUGUUGUACAUGUAGCUUAAAAAGUAGUAAAAUGGGUGAAAUUGUGUGAUUUAUGUGUCUUAUGUGAGACCUGCACUGUCAUGAGUAUAACCACCAUUUUAAUCAGUAAAUAACAUGUGUUAUGUUAAAAUAUCAAGUCGUGAUGAUUUGGGAUGAUUACGGUAAAGUUCGGUACAAAACUAUGCGUUAAAACGGUAAAAAUCGACUUUUAAAGUGAUUUUUCGAAACUGUUUUAAAUCUGAUUAUAAACUAAUAUUUUUAUAAUAAAUGUAAUUAUUUUAACUUAUAUUAAGUAUCUUUGGUGUUCGGUUGGUCAUACAUGACUUCCGACGCCCGGAAACGCUACCAAAACGGUAAAAUACGCAUAUUUCAACGUACGCGAAAACGAGAUGUUCAAAGGUGAACUUUGUGUGUUAUAAGUUGAUAUAUGAAUAUGAAUAUGUGUGAUUUGGUUUGUUAAGUAAUUACAUGUUAAUAAGGAUUGAUGCUAUAUUUAGGCGUUUGUGCGGUUAAAACGGUAAACUAGAUAAAAAAUCACGUUAUGUGUGUAAAUUGUGAUGAACAUGAAAAAUAAUGCUUAAAUUAACUUGAUGAGUUAUUAGACAUAUUAAGUGUUUAAGUAUAAUAUAUGUGUAAAAUGACGUAAUAUGUGAAUUACGAUAUAUGUCGAAUAUGUCCAUAUUUAUGCACAUAUAUUACGAAGCACAAAUCUUAGAUAUAUUGCGAAUAAGUAGGCAUAAUCUAUAAUACUAUAUAAUACAUCUCCUCUGUACUUGAUGGUAAUUUCCUUUGAAAUUUCUAAGACGGCAGACGAAGAGUCAUGUCUUUUUCCCUAUUCUUUCAUCCUCUUCUCCCAAUUUUGCCCCCCAAUUCAAUGUAUUACGCCCACCAUGAAGUCUACACAUGAACAACAGUGCUAAGAUGACUCAAAGCGUCACUGCAAUUACUAAUUCAAUCAAUUAGCUCUCAUCAUUGAAAUCAAUUUUUCACAAUGGACGAUUGGAUGGCUGCAACCCUAAUUCUCCCGGGUGAAGAAGACGAACCGUACAAACGAUCUUGACGGCGAUGCUGGAUGUGGAUGUCGGAGAAGGUGAACGAAAAUUGGUAAUUAUCGAUGGUGGCUAUAGGUGUAAAGGCGACGAUGAUGGUUGUGGUUUCAAGGUUCUGAUGAUGUUGUGGGUGUAACAAUAUCAACAGUGGUGGUUACAAAGGUGUUUACCAGUGAAGUUAUGAGGUGAAUGAUGGUGUUUCAUGGUGGUGAAGGUCACCGGAACAAGAACAAUAGUGAAGAUGAUGAUGGUGAUUGGUAUCUGGUUGUUGAGGUAUGUUUAAUUAUCUAGGGAUUCGGUUUUAGUUGUAUAUUAUUAGGUUAAUAAUCAGAUCAUAGCGUUGUGAGUUUUCUGGCGAAGUUGAUGGUCACCGGCGUAUACGGUUUCUGGCCGCCCAACAGUGAUGUAUUUCUUGUUGGUUAAAUGUGAUGGUUGUUUGUGGUAUUGAUGGAGAUGAUGUUGAUGGUUGUUGAUGGUGCUCCCCGGACCCAGAUGAAUGGGUUACGCGACAUUUAAGGUGUUGUUGAAUGAUGUUGAUCGCUAGGAUGCAUGCUCACAUAGGACUGGACGAGGCCUUAGUGACUUAAAAACAAUGAUAGACUAUGUAUAACUUGUUUAUUUAGAUUUCAAGACGAUGUAAAUAUUUAAUGUUUAAUAAAACGAAACUUCA
rnacentral:lncRNA from 1 species